AAGGAAGUGUAAAAGUCACAUGACAGGAAGCAACGGAGUCAAGAAUAUCAAGAGAUAGCAGAGCAAAGAUUUCCCAGGCCCUAUCCCCUCCCCAGCCCCCUCAGGUGGCCCCGGCAAUUUAAGAAACUAUCAUUAGCUCCUGGGAUGUGAUUUGUGAGAGUUAGUGUGAAGAAAAGACUUUAUAAGACAUGCUUGGUAGCCGUGCCAGGAGACAACAUACAAAUAACACACUUGCAGAAUGAUGAACAAUGAAGAGUAAUAAAGAAUUCAUCAAAUGCUGUGACUAAAUAGACAAAUCUGGAUGUGGGCCAGGGAAACAGUGUGAGCCUACAAACCUUAAACAUAAUAUUUUAAAGAUUUAGAAGACAUAAUUAGAAAAUGGAAUAACAGGAGGAGGUUCCCUUUCUAUCAAAGAUGAAUGCCAGAGAUGCUUCCAUUAGCUGGAGAAAUCAGACUUCUUUCUUCAAGAUCCUUAGCAGGUUAAGGCAGAGAGGAAAAGGCCAUGCAAAAUUCUAAAAGCCUAGAAGGAAGUUUCCAACACACUGAGUAAAUCCUCACCAAAGGAUUUAUGGAACUACACAAUCACACAGGAUAAGAAAGUACAGUGGGAUGCAACCUUUAGAAAUCCUAUGAUAUGGUUAUAGAUCCACUAAAGUAUUGAAGAAUAAAUAUAUGUUAAAGAAUUGA